rnacentral:misc_RNA from 1 species
GAUGAAGAACUUAGCAAAAUGCGAUACUUGGUGUGAAUUGCAGAAUCCCGUGAACCAUCGAGUUUUUGAACGCAAGUUGCGCCCGAAGCCUUUUGGCCGAGGGCACGUCUGCCUGGGCGUCACGCAUCGCGUCGCCCCCCACAAUUCUCCGUAAAGGGAACAUGUGUUUUGGGGGCGGAUAUUGGUCUCCCGUGCUCAUGGCGUGGUUGGCCGAAAUAGGAGUCCUUUCGAUGGACGCACGAACUAGUGGUGGUCGUAAAAACCCUCGUCUUUUGUUUCGUGCUGUUGCUCGCAAGGUAAACUCUUUAAAAACCCCAAUGUGUCGUCUCUUGACGACGCUUCGACCGCGACCCCAGGUCAGGCGGGACUACCCGCUGAGUUUAAGCAUAUCAAUAAGCGGAGGA